rnacentral:lncRNA from 1 species
AAAAAUGUUAUUAACAUAAGUAUAAUUCAUCACAAAGAAAUCAAAAAUAUAAAAAGUAUAAAAAUCAAUAAUCUAAAAAUAACAUUCCAUUAUAAAAGAAAAACAAAACUAACAUUACACGGAGGAAAAUCGUUGCUGGUGUCAUGAACGCUUCAACUUCGUUAAGUUUGUUCUUGUUCCUUAGUUUGCUGAGACAUACUGCAGUAAAUGAUGACUUCGAACACUUGUCAUUUGCUUCACAAAAUUAAAGAAUUUUCCCAGAAUUGAAAAGUAAAAUCAUCUCUAACAAAGUUUGAAAAAUUUCUCCAAACUCACUAACUUGGCUUCAAUUUCCUUCACCGAUUAUAUUCUUUGUUUUUCUUCUAUUAGUUUCUCUUAGGUAUUUUAUCAACCAAUUGAUCUGCAUAAAAAUAUUAAAAGAAUGGAACAUAGAAUUUCGAUUCCUAAUUUCGCCAAACACCCAAAAAAAAAAAAAUCUGAAUUUCACUUAAUCUAAUCACAACUCUUAAUCUAAUCACAACUAAAGUAAUCAAAAUUAAAUUAACUGAGUUGAAAAUGCAUACCAUCUUCUCAUUGUUAUCAACCUGCACUUGGUGCAGGUCUGUUAAUCUCUAUAUACACAUAAGCCACUCACAGUCACUUGGUGAAUUUCUCAAAAAGCAAAUAUGGCAGUGAUACUCAAAGACAUUUUCCGAAUAACUGCUUCCAAAUUGGUGACCAAUAAGAUCCAAAUCUUCACAAAAAGAAGUAUCAAAACUGCUACUUCUGAUGUUCAAAUCAUUUCCAUCGAAGCAAUCAAAGCUUCAUCUCCUACACCGAAACAACUCAGAGCCUAUAAACUUUCAUUGCCUGCUCAAUUGUGUUCUAAACUUUACAUGCCCAUUGUUUCCUUCUACUCAGCCAAUUGCAAACACCAAGAUUUCCGGAAAAAUUCCGAUUUGUUGAAGCAAUCUCUCGCAAAAACGUUAACCCAUUGAUAGCUUUUUAGUCGACUGUAAUGAUCAUGGGGCUGCAUUUAUUGAAGCUAAUGUUGGCUGUCAUAUAUCAAAGUUUCUUCAACCGCCAGAUAGGGAGCUGCUACAACAAUUAAUCCCACCUUGUCCCCAAUUAUCGAAUUUAGAGAUUUCUGAAAGAGCACUUUUGGCUGUCCAAGUAAACUUGCUCAGCAGUGGUGAAAUGGCAAUUGGUGUUUUUUUCCGAGUGGAGUGGCCGAUGGUUCAGCAAUCUUCGACUUGAUGAAAACGUGGGGUGCUCGUGGGGUGAUUAAUGAUAAUGAUAAUAUUUGCAAUAACAAUUUAGUUUUAGAUUGCACCUUUGUUUCCACCGGUAAAGUUUUCGCAGCAGUAUCAAAUCCCAAGCCCACAAUCUUCCCGCAAUAUUGUGUUCGAAAGAUUAUUGUUUGAUGGCAAGAAGAUAGCACAUCUAAAGGAGAAGGUGAAUAAAGAAUUAGUGGGUAAUAAUUUUGAUGACGGGUUACAAGCAACGGGUUUCGGGGUUGUUUCAGCACUUACUUGGGGUGCCUUCAUUGCUGUAGCUCGUGAAAGAAAGAGGGAAAUUGAUAAGAAGUUGUAUUAUUAUGCAGUGUAUUAUACUAUGAAUUUGCGUAACAAGAUGAAUCCACCAAUAUUUAGUACAAGAAGUGGUAAAACCAAAGAGAAGGGGAAGAGAUGUGAUGAAUAGUAUUGAGUAUUUAGGUUUCAUUAAGGAUUUGUAUGAAGCAUGGGAAGAUUCAAGGUCAUUUCCUUUAAUAGUGUGGUUGGAUUGCCUUAUUAUGAAGUUGAUUUUGGUUGGGGGAAGCCUGUUUGGUUUAGUCUCGGGCCCUUAUCGUUUCCUGAUCUUGCUAUUUUGACAAACUCAAGUGACGGUGAAGGAAUAGAAUCAUAGGCGGUAAUGUCUAAGGAGGACACGGACAAAUUUGAACCAGAAACUAGCAUCAUGGCUUAUGCUUCCCCUAACCCCAGCAUAUUUAUAAGGAAAUAGGCAGCUAAUUGUCUUUCUCUUGCUUUGAAUAAAAAGAAUUGUCUUCUAAUUAGAAUAAUAAUAUGCUUACAAAAUUGAGAUUAUUGUACAAUGACUGUAUCUUAUUAUUAUCAUACUUCUUUUUAAAUAAAAUCAUGUUAUGUAUGCACACUUUUGAUCAAUGAAAAAC